ACAUAACAAAAAUAAUUAAGAAUCAAAAAAUUGUUAUCGUUAUCGUGAGACAUUGCAAUCAGAAUCGCCUCAAGAAUCUACAGAUUGUGAGAGGUUUUAUGAAAAAUGUGGUUAUGCAACAGUAAACAUCUGCAAUACCGAUAGUACAAUUAGUAGUAUUAGUACAAUGACCUUUUAUUUAUGUAUUAGUACCUAAUGGUGCUUCCAAAGUACGCCACAAGACAAAACUGAGUGCCGAUUUAUAAUCUACAGUUGAUAUACAAAUUACACGAACAUGAACAUCAUAGUGAAGAAGUUAGCCGAUGAAAUGUUAGCAAUGGACGUGACGACCCUAUGGUUUACUUGGUAUAGAGGCGAUGUCACCAGCGAUUCUACUAGAAAUGCUCAUAAUUGGGGUAGACUUGAGGGCCUAGUGCCCUUGCGAGCAUUUGGGUUAGCGGGCCGCUGCAUCCCCGACGAGAUGACCCGACCUGACCUACUUUUGAGGUACGCAAAUAGGCUAUAUGUUUAUUUCUUUCUGCGAUGCUUGCUAAUGGGGGUAUUGUAAUGUGUG